GCGUGGACGCUGGGGAGGAAUGGAAGCGAAGAAGCCGCUUUGCCGCUUCUUUCUCUCGCCCCUUCCCCGCUUUCCCUCCGCUGCGGUUUCCGCCCAGCAGAGCCUUCGCUCCCACCCUCGGCAGGGGAAGCCGGGCCCAGGCUCCGAAGCGACCGGGAGCCUAAGAGUGGCCGAGGCCGCCCCACGCCCGUCAUCCCUGCCCCCGCGGUGCCCGCUUCCUCCCAGGGGCUCCUUUCCCCAUUUGGGAAAGCCAGAGGCGCUCCCGGGUGGGCCCUCGAGGCGCGUUGUGGCGAAAGGGGUUUCGGCCUGGACGGUGGCGCGAGGGGGCCCUCAACUGCCCGGACCUUUGGCUGCCGAGCUGCCUUUCCUCGCAAGCGUUUGCGCCAUUAGGCUGAUGCGUUCACGAGAAGAAACAAUAGUUGUUGCCCUCCGGCUUUCCGUAGUUCACUUAAACGUGGGAUUGUGGGAAUUGUAGUUCCCGUCAUCUGGUAAGAACCCCUGAACUAUAGUUACAAGAUAAGUUUUAUUUUAUUGUCAUUGCACCUCGUACAACGAAAUUAAAUGCCAUCUUCACUGUACAUUAUAACUAUAAAAAUAAAACACAAACACACAUCCUUCACAUUCUAUACAAUUGAAUUGAAAACCCGAUAUUGCAUUAAUAUUGCACUAUACAUUAGAAUUCAAUAUAAUUACUGCCUUAGUAUAGAAGCUGUUUUUCAGUCUAUUUGUCUUUGUUUUUAUUAUCCUGUACCAUCUGCCAGAUGGUAAAAGUUCAAAAAAAAAAAAAAAGGGUGCCCCGGAUGUGACAGAUCUUUAAGAAUCUUUUGAACUUUCUUAAGGCAGCAGGAGCCAUAAAGCUCUUCCAAGGAGAGGAGAGGGCAGCCAAUGUUAACCGUCUGGAGUGCUGUCCUAUCUACAAGUAUGAUUUGUAUUGGCAAACCAUACACAGAUGCAGUAAGUUAAAAUACUCUCUAUGGUGCAGCAGUAGAAGGUCACUGGCAGUUUUUUAUUCAGUUGUUGUUUCCUGAGAAGUCUCAGGUAGUAUAAUCUCUGCUGGACCCUUUUGACCAGUGCUGCAAUGUGAGCAAUGUGGGUCAGGUCUUCUUUUAUGAUAACACCCAGAAACUUAAAACUGGACACUUGCUCCACUCUGUCUCCAUUGAUAAGUAAGGGCUGGAUGUCUGAUCUAUUCCUUCUAUAGUCCACUAUAAGCUCCUUGGUCUUAUUGAUAAGGACUAACUUAUUGUCGCCACACCACAAAAGCUACGGUCCACCUCAUCUUGAUAGGCAGACUCAUCCCACCCCCCAGAGAUGAAUCCCACCACUGUUGUAUCAUCUGCAAAUUUAGUAAUAGUAUUACUAGCGUGAGUGGGAAUGCAGUCAUGCACAUAAAGAGUAUAGAGUAAGGGACUCAACAUGCAACCCUGUAGUGUACCAGUGUUAAGAAUAAGGGCUGAAGAGUUGUGAUUAUCUAAUCUGACCCUCUGAGAGUGGCCAGACAGGAAAUCCAUAAUCCAAAGGCAGAUUGAAUAAGAAAGUCCAAGAUCCAUAAGUUUAGACACUAGUCUAUGUGGAAGUAUUGUGUUAGAUGCAGAGCUAAAAUCUACAAAAAGCAUCUUCACAUAGCCCAUCCCCCCUGUUCCAAAUGAGUCAGAGCAGUGUGAAGAGUGAUGGCUGUAGCAUCCUCUAAUAGAUGUAGAUCUAUUUCUUCUGUAUGCAAACUGGUAUUUAAUCAUUGCGGAAGAUCAGAAAUUAUGUGCCAGCAGACCAAUUUCCCAAAGCACUUUAUGAUGAUAGGAGUGAGUGCCAUUGGUCUGUAAUCAUUGAGGUUACAUUGGGGAACUUCUUUGGCAGCGGAACAAUGAUAGAAGCCUUCAAACAAGAUGGAAUAGUGGACUGGGAUAAAGACUGAUUGAAGAUCGGAUAAUUGAAAGCAACCAAAAGUGGUUGCAUGUUAUUUUUUUUUAAGUAUGCUUUGAAUUUAGAGGAAAGAGAUGGUCUAGAGUAUAGACCAUAUAUAGCGUAUAAAUUUUUAUAACAAAAAUUUGCUCUGCAUAGUAUGCAAAUAUGUAGCAUAUACAAGAAUUUUUGUAUGAGGACACAAACACCAUAAAAUAUGGUGAUCGGGUGAGUUAUUUUCUUGCUAGUGCCCUUGUUUGUUGGGGGGGGGGGGGUUACUUGGGGAGGAUGCAGCUUUUGCGUACAAGGCUCAGUCUUUGAAUCUGCUUAGGAGUGUUGCAGAAGUGCUGAAAGUUGUGACUUGUUGGGAGCCUAUAGGUCUGUGUCAGAGAGGGGAUAUGAAAGGGCAUGUUGCUUUUUUAUGCCUCAAAAAUCAGAAUCUCACCAAUUUCAUUUAUUAUUAUUGAUUUAUUUGUGGUAUACUGCCCUAGCACAUUCAGUUAGCAGGUUUCCUGAUAGGAGGUUUUAAGUUUGCAGAGAUGACUGGAUAAUAACCAUUUACCAGCCUGUGAAAUACAGUCAGGUCCAGAAAUAUUGGGACAUCGACACAAUUCUAACAUCUUUGGCUCUAUACACCACCACAAUGGAGUUGGAAUGAAACAAACACAAUGUGCUUUAACUGCAGCCUGUCAGCUUUAAUUUGAGGGUAUGUACAUCCAACUCAGGUGAAUGGUGUAGGACUUAGAGCAGUUUGCAUAUGUGCCUCCCACUUGUUAAGGGACCAAAAGUAAUGGGACAGAAUAAUAAUCAUAAAUCAAACUUUCCCUUCUUAAUACUUGGUUGCAAAUCCUUUGCAGUCAAUCACGGCCUGAAGUCUGGAAUGCAUAGACAUCGCCAGACGCUGGGUUUCAUCCCUGGUGAUGCUCUGCCAGGCCUCAGGUGAUUGACUUGGCCAUUGCAUAAUAUUCCACUUCUGUCCCUUCAAAAACUCUUUGGUUGCUUUUGCAGUAUGCUUUGGGUCAUUGUCCAUCUGCAAUGUGAAGCGCCGUCCAAUGAGUAGUACAGCAUUUGGCUGAAUGUGAGCAGAUAAUAUUGCCCGAAACACUUUAGAAUUCAUCCUGCUGCUUUUGUCAGCAGUCACAUCAUCAAUAAAUACAAGAGAACCGGUUUCAUUGGCAGCCAUACAUGCCCACGCCAUGACACUACCACCACUGUGCCACUGAUGAGGUGAUAUGCUUAGGAUCAUGAACAGUUCCUUUCCUUUUCCAUACUCUUCUCUUCCCAUCACUCUGGUACAAGUUGAUCUUGGUCUCAUCUGUCCAUAGGAUCUUGUUCCAGAACUGUGAAGGCUUUGUUAGUUGUUGUUUGGCAAACUCUAAUCUGGCCUUCCUGUUUUUGAGGCUCACCAAUGGUUUACAUUUUAUGGUGAGCCCUUUGUAUUCACUCUUGUGAAGUUUUCUCUUGAUUGUUGACUUUGACACACAUACACUUACCUCCUAGAGAGUGUUCUUGAUCUGGCCAACUGUCGUGAGGGGUGUUUUCUUCACCAGGAAAAGAAUUCUUCGGUCAUCCAUCAGAGUUGUUUUCCAUGAUCUCCUGGGUCUUUUGGUGUUGCUGAGCUCACCGGUAGUCCUCAACUUACAACCACUUGUUUAGUGACCAUUCAAAGCUACAAUGGCACUGAAAAAAUGACUUAUGACUGUUUUCACACUUACGACUGUUGCAGCAUCCCUGUGGUCACGUGAUCAAAAUUCAGACAUUUGGCAACUGUCUCAUAUUAAUGUCGGUUGCAGUAUCAUGGGGUCAUGUGAUCGCCUUUUGUGACCUUCUGACAAGCAAAGUCAAUAAGGAAGCCAGAUUCACUUAACAACCAUGUUACUAAUUUAAAAACUGCAGUGAUUCACUUAACUGCGGCAAGAAAGAUUGUAAAAUAGGGCAGAAUUCACAUAAUUGUCUUUCUUAGCAGUGGAAGAUUUCAAUUGUGGUUCUAAGUCGAUAACUACCUGUAAAAGCUUGAUUGCCUCUGCAUACUGAGAUCGCUGGCUCCAUUCCUUUUAUUCAGCUGGAUUAAUUUUUUAUGUUUCUUCUCUUUAUUGUGUAAUGCCAUUUUAUAUGUCGUGGCAGAAAUGGAAAAGAAAGCUAAUUUAAAAUGGAUUAUUAAAAAGUGCUAUGUGGUUUUUCCAGUUUCCUAAAAAAUAUCCCUUAAUAACAAGGAACUAAAUGGGCAUUGCAUCCAGAGUUGGUACCAUUCUUUAUGUUGUAAAACUGAAGGUUUUAAAACCAGUUUCUUACUAGUAAACUUACAAAAUACUCAGUAAUUUAAGAAUCUACUUAAAUUCUUAGUAUCCUGCAUUUAUCAGUUAUAAUUAUGAAAUAAAGUUUACAUGAAAGAAGAA